CCCUUAGAUGUUCUGGGCCGCACGCGCGCUACACUGAUGCAUUCAACAAGCCUAGCCUUGACCGAGAGGUCCGGGUAAUCUUUGAAACUGCAUCGUGAUGGGGCUAGAUUAUUGCAAUUAUUAAUCUUCAACGAGGAAUGCCUAGUAAGCGUGAUUCAUCAAAUCGCGUUGAUUACGUCCCUGCCCUUUGUACACACCGCCCGUCGCUCCUACCGAUUGAAUGGUCCGGUGAAGCCUCGGGAUUGUGGCCAGUUCACUUUAUUGGGAGUUGGCUGCGAGAACUUGUCUAAACCUUAUCAUUUAGAGGAAGGUGAAGUCGUAACA
rnacentral:rRNA from 1 species